ensembl:misc_RNA Metazoa_SRP Metazoan signal recognition particle RNA
GCUAGGUAUGGUGGCUCAUGCCUGUAAUCCCAGCACUUUAGGAGGCUGAGGUGGGAGAAUAACUUGAGCCCAGGAGUUCAAGACCAGCCUGGGCAACAUAGUGAGACCCCAUCUCUA